CGAUGGUUCAUUCAAAUUUCUUCCCUAUCAACUUUCGAUGUUUGGGUAUUGGCCAAACAUGGUUGCAACGGGUAACGGAGGGUUAGGGCUCGACCCCGGAGAAGGAGCCUGAGAAACGGCUACUACAUCCAAGGAAGGCAGCAGGCGCGCAAAUUACCCAAUCCCGACACGGGGAGGUAGUGACAAUAAAUACUGAUACAGGGCUCUUUUGGGUCUUGUAAAUUUGGAAUGAGUACAAUUUAAAUCCCUUAACGAGGAACAAUUGGAGGGCAAGUCUGGUAUUGCCAGCAGCCGAUCGGUAAUUCCAGCUCCAAUAGCGUAUAUUAAAGUUGUUGUGGUUAAAAAGCUCGUAGUUUGAACCUUGGGCCAUUGGCUGGCCGGUCCGCCUCACCGCGUGUACUGGUCCGGCCGGGCCUUUCCCUCUGUGGUAAACCCCAUGCCCUUUCACUGGGUGUGGCGGGGAAACAGGACUUUUACUGUGAAAAAAUUAGAGUGCUCCAGUAGCAGGCCUAUGCUAUCGAAUACAUUAGCAUGGAAUAAUAGAAUAGGACGUGUGGUUCUAUUUUGUUGGUUUCAUUAGGACCGCCGUAUAAUGAUUAAUAGGGACAGUCGGGGGCAUCAGUAUUCAAUUGUCAGAGGUGAAAUUCUUUGGAUUUAUUGAUAAGACUAACUACUGCGAAAGCAUUUGCCAAGGAUGUUUUCAUUAAUCAGGAACGAAAGUUUAG
rnacentral:rRNA from 1 species